rnacentral:rRNA from 1 species
GAUUGAACGCUGGCGGCAGGCCUAACACAUGCAAGUCGAGCGGAUGAAGGGAGCUUGCUCCUGGAUUCAGCGGCGGACGGGUGAGUAAUGCCUAGGAAUCUGCCUGGUAGUGGGGGAUAACGUCCGGAAACGGGCGCUAAUACCGCAUACGUCCUGAGGGAGAAAGUGGGGGAUCUUCGGACCUCACGCUAUCAGAUGAUCCUAGGUCGGAUUAGCUAGUUGGUGGGGUAAAGGCCUACCAAGGCGACGAUCCGUAACUGGUCUGAGAGGAUGAUCAGUCACACUGGAACUGAGACACGGUCCAGACUCCUACGGGAGGCAGCAGUGGGGAAUAUUGGACAAUGGGCGAAAGCCUGAUCCAGCCAUGCCGCGUGUGUGAAGAAGGUCUUCGGAUUGUAAAGCACUUUAAGUUGGGAGGAAGGGCAGUAAGUUAAUACCUUGCUGUUUUGACGUUACCAACAGAAUAAGCACCGGCUAACUUCGUG